CUCAUGUCUUGGUUGGCGUUUGGUGGUGUAUAACCGUGAUUGCAUUACCUUAGCAAUAACAAUUGGUCGUCUUGGUUACGUUUGUCCUCAAGAAGUGGCCCCCGUGCUACAGCAGUUUAUAAGACCCUGGUGCACUUCUCUGCGAAACAUAAGAGACAAUGAAGAAAAGGAUUCAGCAUUCCGUGGGAUAUGUACCAUGAUCUCGGUCAAUCCCAGUGGAGUAGUCCAAGACUUUAUUUUUUUUUGUGAUGCUGUUGCAUCAUGGAUUAGCCCAAAAGAUGAUCUCCGAGACAUGUUCUGUAAGAUUCUGCAUGGAUUUAAAAACCAAGUUGGAGAUGAGAAUUGGAGGCGUUUCUCUGACCAGUUUCCUCUUCCCUUAAAAGAGCGCCUUGCAGCUUACUAUGGAGUUUAACCUUAUGUGCUGUAGCUGCAGUCCCAUAAUUAGAGGUCCUUCAGUCUGGGAGACUAUGAGGGAGUCUCUGCACCCAGGGAAAAUGUUACCCUUUACUGGGGGGAAGGGUAAACCAGUAGGGAAUAGAGUACAAUCCCAACCCUACUGGGUGGGGUGGGAGGGAAGUGUUGCCGUCACUGUAUUAAGUCAAUGUUGGGAAAUGUUUUGACAUCUGGAGCCUUUGUGGGUGGAAAUCUUUCUCGUUUUACAACUCUGCACUGGAUGUGAGGAAGAAGGAAAAAAAAACUAUUAACAAAACAGCCCAUUCUGGACUAUUGUGGGGAACUGUACCAAAAUAAGAACCAUAUCAUUGAACCAUAGGGAUACAUAAAGAGGAAAACUAUUUUGCACACAAUAAAAGAAAUCUAAGGAUGGGGGUCACAAACAGUAAAAGGCUUUCUUUUUUCUUUUCUGUUGUUUUUGUUUGUUUGUUUGUUUUAAGUAAGAGUUUUCUACAUUAUUUCAUCUUGCUUGAUGGGAUUCCUAGGUGAUUUGCAUGUUUACGAGUAAGUAAGCAAAUUAAGUUAGUACAGUUAAAAUGCAGAUUGUGUCUGUAUUAGGAGCAGACAUUUGCAGUGUGCAACUUAGAAACCCUGUUGUAAAUUCAUAAUCAUAGAGUCAUAGAAUGGUUAGGGUUGGAAGGGACCUUAAGAUCAUCUAGUUCCAACCCCCCUGCCAUGGGCAAGGACACCUUCCACUAGAUCUUGUCACCCAAGACCCUGUCCAACCUGGCCUUGAACACUGCCAGGGAUUAAUAAAAGUUAACUUGGACAAAAUUAAGCAAUCUGCAAGCUGCCAAAUGAGUUAUUCCUUUCACUUUUGGGGUAAGGGGAGGGACACUUCAAAGGAAAGAUUCACAUAUUAAUUUUUACAUUAAAAAAAAAUCAAGUACCAGAUAUUUGUUUAUUGUACUUAAUUAAUUUAAUUUCUAGUGUAAAGAAUUUUUUCUUAACAUGCAGUUUAGGGUUCAUACAUGUAUUCUGACUCAUAGUAAUUUAAACUAGUGGUAAAGUAGAAUGCUUGCAUCACAUAGAGUGUGUGUGCCAGUCUUGUUUUGCAGUUUACUAAUUCAAUAUAGCCCCACAUU